CCAAUAGCGUAUAUUAAAGUUGUUGCAGUUAAAAAGCUCGUAGUUGAAUUUCGGGAUUAGUACGUUGGUCGUGCCUUGGUACGUACUGGUGUAACUGAUUCCUCCCUUCUGACGAACCGUUAUGCCAUUAAUUUGGUGUGGCGGGAAAUCAGGACUGUUACUUUGAAAAAAUUAGAGUGUUUAAAGCAGGCUCGCGCUUGAAUACAUUAGCAUGGAAUAAUGAAAUAGGACGUUAAUCCUAUUUUGUUGGUUUCUAGGAUCGACGUAAUGAUUAAUAGGGAUAGUUGGGGGCAUUAGUAUUCAAUUGUCAGAGGUGAAAUUCUUGGAUUUAUUGAAGACUAACUACUGCGAAAGCAUUUGCCAAGAAUGUUUUCAUUAAUCAAGAACGAAAGUUAGAGGUUCGAAGGCGAUCAGAUACCGCCCUAGUUCUAACCAUAAACGAUGCCAACCAGCGAUUAGCCUGAGUUCCUUAAAUGACUCGGCUAGCAGCUUCCG
rnacentral:misc_RNA from 1 species